rnacentral:rRNA from 1 species
UACGUAGGUGGCAAGCGUUAUCCGGAAUUAUUGGGCGUAAAGAGCGCGCAGGUGGUUGAUUAAGUCUGAUGUGAAAGCCCACGGCUUAACCGUGGAGGGUCAUUGGAAACUGGUCGACUUGAGUGCAGAAGAGGGAAGUGGAAUUCCAUGUGUAGCGGUGAAAUGCGUAGAGAUAUGGAGGAACACCAGUGGCGAAGGCGGCUUCCUGGUCUGUAACUGACGCUGAGGUACGAAAGCGUGGGUAGCAAACAGGAUUAGAUACCCU